GACCCCGUGAACCUUUACUAUAGCUUGACACUGAACAUUGAGCCUUGAUGUGUAGGAUAGGUGGGAGGCUUUGAAGUGUGGACGCCAGUCUGCAUGGAGCCGACCUUGAAAUACCACCCUUUAAUGUUUGAUGUUCUAACGUGGACCCGUAAUCCGGGUUGCGGACAGUGUCUGGUGGGUAGUUUGACUGGGGCGGUCUCCUCCUAAAGAGUAACGGAGGAGCACGAAGGUUGGCUAAUCCUGGUCGGACAUCAGGAGGUUAGUGCAAUGGCAUAAGCCAGCUUGACUGCGAGCGUGACGGCGCGAGCAGGUGCGAAAGCAGGUCAUAGUGAUCCGGUGGUUCUGAAUGGAAGGGCCAUCGCUCAACGGAUAAAAGGUACUCCGGGGAUAACAGGCUGAUACCGCCCAAGAGUUCAUAUCGACGGCGGUGUUUGGCACCUCGAUGUCGGCUCAUCACAUCCUGGGGCUGAAGUAGGUCCCAAGGGUAUGGCUGUUCGCCAUUUAAAGUGGUACGCGAGCUGGGUUUAGAACGUCGUGAGACAGUUCGGUCCCUAUCUGCCGUGGGCGCUGGAGAACUGAGGGGGGCUGCUCCUAGUACGAGAGGACCGGAGUGGACGCAUCACUGGUGUUCGGGUUGUCAUGCCAAUGGCACUGCCCGGUAGCUAAAUGCGGAAGAGAUAAGUGCUGAAAGCAUCUAAGCACGAAACUUGCCCCGAGAUGAGUUCUCCCUGAGACUUAGAGUCUCCUGAAGGAACGUUGAAGACGACGACGUUGAUAGGCCGGGUGUGUAAGCGCAGCGAUGCGUUGAGCUAACCGGUACUAAUGAACCGUGAGGCUUAACCUUAC
rnacentral:rRNA from 1 species